CCAUGGAUGCUCUCAGAACUUUUGGUUUCUUGUUUAUCUUAAUGGGUCAAACGUUUACUGAGACUCAGUUCAAAUCAAAAGUAUCCUGUUCAAAUGAUGUGGGGGAGCAGUUAGAGAUCCAAGGAUAAAUCAGCACUUCACCCUGACAACGACUCCCUUUUGUUUUAACCUUUGGAUUGCUAAAAAGACGCAGUAUGGAGAGUGAGCAGAAGUGGUGUCACUGACACUUCCCCCAAAAGGCAGAAGAAUAUUUCACACU